rnacentral:lncRNA from 1 species
GAGACAGAAGGAGGCACACCUGAGAGGAUCUCACAUAGCCAGAGGAGCCUUCCAACACCACAGACACUCACACAGACCAGCCAUCAUGUCCGCCGCCGGAGGUACGUUUUACAUCAUUGAAUUUCAAUUACCGGUACUAGACACAAAUAGCCCGUUUUUCCCCCGAGAAUUUUAACGUUUUGACUCUCCUUGUUAUAUUAUAGUUCAUGAUGAUUUUCCAUUAUAAAUGUCAUUUGUCCUAUAUUCCAAAAAAAAGAAUUACAAUGUGGAGAUCAUGCCAAUAGGUAUCCCCUCUAGUCUCAGUUCUCCAUUAUACCAUGGGUUUAUCAGGCAAUAGCCAUAACCUGUGGCCUGAUCAUGAUUCAUGUACAUCACUAGCCAGUCAGGUAACAGGCAGAACGCCACAGGGAAUCAUGUGCUAGCUCGUUGUUCUAGCCACAUAGUAAACAUUCAUUUAGUAUGCUGUGGCUACAGAGACCGGCACAAGUUGGCUAGCUUCGCAGUGCACUGUACAUACAUACAGUACAUAUCCCAAAGCACCUUCACAAACUCAAACAAACCACUCUCAGUCACUGCUACCUCCCGUUGCCCGAGUGAGACACAACAUAUUAGCCUGCUCGUCCCCCAAAACAAACAGGGAACGUGGCUCAUCAUAACAUAUUGGUGUGACCUGCUCUGGGAGAUUUACGUUGACUUUCUGUGGGUCAGGUUUACUUUUGAGUCAGUCAUAUAUUGUUAGAAACCGGGUCGUGCGAACCCUGGAUGCUGAUUGGCUGAAAACCACGGUACUGAAUAUGAGACAAUAUACCACGGGUAUGACGCAAAACUACUUGUUUACUGUUCGUAUUACGUUGGUAACCUGUUUGUAAUAGCAAUAAGGCACCUCAGGGGUUUGUGGUAGCCCCCAAACCUAGGACCCCAGAUGGCAAUAAAAGCCACAGGGCUGGGACAACAGUAUGUUUCUCUGUCUAUUCUAUUUCUGUCACUCCUCUGAGUGUACCGGCCUGUAGAGUGUGGAUAUCCUCUUGGAUCUUAUCUUGUGUUCUCUGCUCUCUCAUCAGCUCCUGAGUACGACCCUGAUGCAGAAUUUGUGUACGACUACCAAACUCUUCGUAUUGGAGGUCUGACCUUCGUUGCAGUCAUCAUGAUCCUGUCUGUUCUCCUGCUGGCCAGCAACAAAAUCCGCAGGUGUGGAAAGCCCAGGCCGGUAGCAACAAGAAGAAGCACUGCGAUGUGUGAGGACCCAAGAAGGACACAAAGACACAAUACACAUGCAUCAAGUGCAAGAAAUACAUUUGCAACACACAAAUACAGUAAACUCUGUCCCUCAUGUGGCGUAUAGACCGGCCUUAUUUGUGUUCAAUGGGGCUCAUUUAUAAUUUCCAUAAAUUACUGUAUGUAAAAUUUGUCCUUCCAAUUUGUUCAGUUCAAAGCAAUAAACAUCAAUAGUGAUGAAAACCUUAUUUAAUUUAUAUUUGGUCAAGAUAAACAUAAUUUAUUCCACCCAUGUCUUGAUUGUAAUUGUAAAAAAACGAAUAGCGCUUUUAUUGAUAAAUGUGAUGCAAUAGAGGUAAAUGUGAAAUAUUAACCAUGUAUGCUGUCUCAAUUGCUUGUAAUUGAUAUAAGUCAACAUCUAAGUAUGAAGUAUUUUUACAUAAAUUGUUAUGGCUGUAUUGUUUUAAAUACCCAAG